CCUACGGGGGGCUGCAGUAGGGAAUCUUCGGCAAUGGGGGGAACCCUGACCGAGCGAUACCGCGUGAUUGAAGAAAUACUUCGGUAUGUAAAAAUCUUUUACAAAGGAUGAAUGACCUUAGGAGGAAAUGCCUAAGGAGUGACAGUACUUUAGGAAUAAGCCCCGGCUAACUAUGUGCCAGCAGCCGCGGUAAUACAUAGGGGGCAAGCGUUAUCCGGAAUUAUUGGGCGUAAAGGGUGCGUAGGCGGCUAGUUAAGUUCAUGGUCUAAAUUUAAGGCUCAACCUUAAAAUGCUUUGAAAACUGGCUAGCUUGAGAGAGGUAGAGGCAAGUGGAAUUCCAUGUGUAGCGGUAAAAUGCGUAAAUAUAUGGAGGAACACCAGUGGCGAAGGCGGCUUGCUGGGCCUUAUCUGACGCUGAUGCACGAAAGCGUGGGGAGCAAACAGGCUUAGAUACCCCAGUAGUC
rnacentral:rRNA from 1 species